rnacentral:rRNA from 1 species
UACGUAGGGGGCAAGCGUUGUCCGGAGUUACUGGGCGUAAAGCGCACGCAGGCGGUCUGUUAAGUUUGGAGUGACAGUUGGUGGCUUAACUGCCAAAGUGCUUCGAAAACUGAUCGACUUGAGGGCUUCAGAGGGACACGGAAUUCCGGGUGGAGUGGUGAAAUGCGUAAAGAUCCGGAGGAACACCGAAGGCGAAGGCAGUGUCCUGGGGAGUACCUGACGCUCAGGUGCGAAAGCCAGGGGAGCGAACGGG